GAUGAACGCUGGCGGCGUGCCUAAUACAUGCAAGUCGAGCGAACGGACUAGAAGCUUGCUUCUCUGAUGUUAGCGGCGGACGGGUGAGUAACACGUGGAUAACCUACCUAUAAGACUGGGAUAACUUCGGGAAACCGUAGCUAAUACCGGAUAAUAUUUUGAACCGCAUGGUUCAAAAGUGAAAGACGGUCUUGCUGUCACUUAUAGAUGGAUCCGCGCUGCAUUAGCUAGUUGGUAAGGUAACGGCUUACCAGGGCAACGAUGCAUAGCCGACCUGAGAGGGUGAUCGGCCACACUGGAACUGAGACACGGUCCAGACUCCUACGGGAGGCAGCAGUAGGGAAUCUUCCGCAAUGGGCGAAAGCCUGACGGAGCAACGCCGCGUGAGUGAUGAAGGUCUUCGGAUCGUAAAACUCUGUUAUUAGGGAAGAACAUAUGUGUAAGUAACUGUGCACAUCUUGACGGUACCUAAUCAGAAAGCCACGGCUAACUACGUG
rnacentral:rRNA from 1 species